ACGAGACAGUUUCGAAACACCCGAAGUCAGAGAAUAGUGAUUCGUAAGACAAUAGUGCUUUGGGUUGGAUUUCCAGUGCCUGUAACAUGACAUGCGCGAACGCCGGGUAUUGAUCGUAGAGUCCGUGACGUGUGGGGGACACCAGCCUCCGGCGCGGAAACUCGUGGCGGGUAUAGAAGGUGCGCAUUCAGUCGCCAUUUCUCCCGCUGGUAUGUCAUACCUUCAUUCAUGAUGGUGAUAAUGACUGGCAGAUGCUGGUAUCACUACCACAUGCUAACAUCAUACCAGAGAUGAUGAAAAGUGAAUAGGGCAUGGUGAAGGAGCUGCCUAUGUUGGCCUUCAAGUGGUCGAUUCAGCUCCUCAAUCAAAACAUCCAAGCAAUAGAGCAAGAACACACCAUCAUCUGCACAGCACCAGGAAUGCCUGAAAAUAAAAAAUUAUUAUACCACAAGGGAAAGGCAAAUAAUUGUGAUGUGUUGAUAUGAAUUGCCAUCAGAAGGCUUUGAAGACUCAUUUGACUUCUGUCCUGAUUUCUCACUGCUUGCUUCACUGCCAGUGACAUUUACCUCCAUUUGUUCACUAUUCAUUUUCUCUUCCCUGGAAUCCUUUUCACUGCUC
rnacentral:lncRNA from 1 species